rnacentral:rRNA from 1 species
GUGGGGAAUUGUUCGCAAUGGGCGCAAGCCUGACGACGCAACGCCGCGUGGAGGACGAAGAUCUUCGGAUCGUAAACUCCUGUCGAGCGGGACGAACGGCCCGGGACCCAACACGUCUCGGGAGUGACGGUACCGCUAAAGGAAGCCCCGGCUAACUCCGUGCCAGCAGCCGCGGUAAUACGGGGGGGGCCAGCGUUGUUCGGAAUUACUGGGCGUAAAGGGCGCGUAGGCGGCCUUCUCAGUCAGACGUGAAAUCCCUCGGCUCAACCGGGGAACUGCGUCUGAUACUGGAAGGCUUGAAUCCGGGAGAGGGAUGCGGAAUUCCAGGUGUAGCGGUGAAAUGCGUAGAUAUCUGGAGGAACACCGGUGGCGAAGGCGGCAUCCUGGACCGGUAUUGACGCUGAGGCGCGAAAGCCAGGGGAGCAAACGGGAUUAGAUACCCGAGUAGUCC